rnacentral:rRNA from 1 species
GACGAACGCUGGCGGCGUGCUUAACACCUGUAAGUCGAACGAAGUGGCGAACGGGUGAGUAACGCGUAAUCAACCUGCCCUUCAGAGGGGGACAACAGUUGGAAAAGACUGCUAAUAACGCAUACUGGAGGAGGGGAGUGCGUCUGAUUAGGUAGUUGGAGUGGUAACGGCCCACCACGUCGCUGAUCAGUAGACGGUUGGAGAGGCUGAACGGCCACAUUGUGACGGAGACACGGCCCAGACUCCUACGGGAGGCAGCAGUGGGGAAUCUUCCGCAAUGGACGAAAGUCUGACGGAGCAACGCCGCGUGAGUGAUGACGGCCUUCGGGUUGUAAAGCUCUGUUAAUCGGGACGCGGUACCGGAAUAGAAAGCCACGGCGAACUACGUGCCAGCAGCCGCGGUAAUAC